AUGAACGCUGGCGGCGUGCCUAAUACAUGCCAGUCGAGCGAACAGACGAGGAGCUUGCUCCUCUGACGUUAGCGGCGGACGGGUGAGUAACACGUGGAUAACCUACCUAUAAGACUGGGAUAACUUCGGGAAACCGGAGCUAAUACCGUAUAACAUGUUGAACCGCAUGGUUCAACAGUGAAAGACGGUCUUGCUGUCACUUAUAGAUGGAUCCGCGCCGCAUUAGCUAGUUGGUAAGGUAACGGCUUACCAAGGCAACGAUGCGUAGCCGACCUGAGAGGGUGAUCGGCCACACUGGAACUGAGACACGGUCCAGACUCCUACGGGAGGCAGCAGUAGGGAAUCUUCCGCAAUGGGCGAAAGCCUGACGGAGCAACGCCGCGUGAGUGAAGAAGGUCUUCGGAUCGUAAAACUCUGUUAUUAGGGAAGAACAAAUGUGUAAGUAACUAUGCACGUCUUGACGGUACCUAAUCAGAAAGCCACGGCUAACUACGUG
rnacentral:rRNA from 1 species